GAGAAAUCAGUUUGUGAAGCUCAUAUAGCCAUACCAGGACUGUGUGUGAUUCCCCUGCCUCUGGAAGGCUAUUUUAUUUUCUGUAGAAGCUACAUUUUCUUGUUUAGCUGCAAGGAGUGCAGCAACUAUUUGGACCUCUAUUACUUAUGGUCAAUUCCUACCCCUGAUAACUACAAUGAAAUCAUACCCAGAUAACAUUUUAGAGGUUGCUAUGGGGCUAACUGUGACAUCACACAGCAUCAAAAGCAUUAACAAGACAGAAAAAGUAACAAAGAAAUACAACUGCCAGCUGCCUGAAGAGGGGACUAUAACAAAGAAGACCACAUGAGACCAGCUUUUAGUUUUCCUCUGUGGCCUGCUAAAGGCACACCAUUUUCUUAAAGUCCAGACACUGUGGGGGUUUAAAUCUGCCAUGGCCUCACAGACUUCUACUAUGUAUGUUGUAUGUCUGCUUUAUAUGCAACCUCCAAAAGUACUUGUGAUUUUAAUUCUGCCUAAAGAAGCCUCCUCCUGGAAAAAUGUGAUGAUUUCGCUAAGAAAUUGGAGCAGCACAAAGGAGAAACUCAGUAUAGGUUGUAUUUUUUUAUGGUUCACCGGGUGAAUUUUGCCAAGUAGCAGAGGAGGAAACAAAAUCAAUCCUGCAUGUACUUUCCCAGAGUAUGGAACAGAAGGGGAAUACUUACUCACCCUGUGAGAAACAACAGCUGUUGGGCUCCAAAUCCUGAUUCUUAAGGUCAUGGAAGAUGCCACAUGAUUGCUAUGCCAGACAUCUGCAAUACAGAUUUUUAUUUGGACAACAGCUAGUGAUUCCAGAAUCAUGUAUGUCUAACUGGAAGAAUACUACUAGAUCAAAUUUCUGUCAUUAUAGUCCACCUUCUGACAUUGCCUUAUAAAGAAAUAAUGCUUUCUUAAGUAUGCCGCCCCUAGCUCCAACUAGGUUAGAUGUCUGGGCUCUGCUCCAGAAUGGGACAGUCAACAGAAGAAGAUGGACAUUGCUUCUGCUCCUCUCCUGAUGCCUCCGCAGUUUUGGUAUGUGUUUUGUCUGGCCAGUUGUCUGUGUUUUUCUUCCCAUCCUCUCUAGACACACCUCCAGGAUAUCUUCCUACCAUGAGCACUCUUACCUUCAUUUUCUUGAAUUCAUUAUUCAUUCUCCAAAUCUGUGAUGUCAGUAUAGUAUAUUUUAAAAAUAAAGAUUUUUAUUUACUUGAAAGGUAGAAAGAGACAGACAGACUGACAGAGAUCUUCUAAUGAUGGGUCACACUCCAAGUGCCCACAACAGCUAAGAGUGGGCCAGGCCAAAGCCAGGAGCCAAGCCUCAAUCUGUCUGCAAAGCUGGGAGCAGGGCUGCAAGUACAUCAGGCUCACCACCUGCUGCCCACUCAAGGCGGGCAUUAACAGGAACUAGGACUUGAACAGAAACAUUCUGAAUGUGGGAUUAAGGUGUAUCUAGCAGCAUCUUUACCAAAUAUGUCAAAUUGUUUAUACUUUUUGAUCAGUUUAAGAGGCAUUUCAUGCUUUUAGUGCUAACAAUUUUACCACCAAUGAGUUUAAUGCUCCCUUGCUCCACUACACAAUAAAGAUGUGAGGAUGCGUUAAGGAUUGCACCAUCUAGAUCUCCUCUUAGCAUCUAAUACAUCACCUGCACUUCAGUAGAACACUCACUGAAGAUCUGUGAACGGGAGCCAGCACUCUGGCACAGCCAUUGGCAGUGCUGGCAUCCCAUAUGAGUGGUUUGAGCUCUGUCUGUUUCAUUUCUGAUCCAACUUCCUGCUAAUGUGCCUGGGAAAGCUGCAGAAGGUGGCCCAAGUGCUAGGGCCCUUUGCCACCACAUGGGAGACCCAGAUGAAAUUCCAGGCUUUGAAGCCAAGCCCUUUGGGGUCAUUUGGGGAGUGAAUCAGUGGAAGGAUGAUCUCUCUCUCUCUGUUUCUCCUGUUUUCUCUGUAACUUUGCCUUUCAAAUAAAUCUUUUAUUUUAAAAGAUGUUAAUGAAUAAAAUAUGUAAAAUCAAAAUUAAGCUCAAGGUUAAUUAACGUCUCUCUACAGUAACACUAGUUAAAUCUCUGUUAGGGGAGUACUGUUACAUUAUCCCCAUUGCAGAGAUGAGGAAACUGCAGUACAGAAAGGUCAACCUCAGAAGGAGUAAAGGUUGGAACUGGAUUUAAAAUAUAGAUAGAGGGCCAGUGUUGUGGUGCAGCAGGUUAAGACACCUGUGACACUGGCAUCCCAUGUGGGUGCUGGGGUUCAUGUCCCGGCUGCUCCACUUCUGAUCCAGUUCCCUGGUAAUGUGCCUGGAAAAGCAGUGGAGGGUGGCCCACAUAUUUGGACCUCUGCCAGCCACGUGGUUGAUGCAGAUGAACUCCUGGCUCCCGGCUGUGGCCUGGCUCAGCCCUGGCUGAUGCAGCCAUCUGGGGGAGUGAACCAGUGAUACAAGAACCCUCUCUGUCUCUCCCUCUCUCUCUGUAACUCUGCCUUUCAAAUAAAUGAUUAAUAAAACAAACAAACCCAACACAGAUUAACUUCAAAAUCUAGUCUUUGGGGUGGAAGCUGUGUUGCGAUGAUUAAGCUCCUUGGGAGAUUGCAUCCUAUAUUGCAGAGCCUGGGAUUGGGUCUCAUCUCUGCUUCUGAUCCAGCUUUCUGCUAAUGUUCUGGGAGGUAGCAGAUAAUGGCCCAAGUACUAGGUUCCUGCCACCCACGUGAGGAAGACCUGGAUGAAGUUCUGGGCUCUUGGCUUCAGGCUGGCACAGCCUCAGCUAUUGCAGGCAUUUCAGGAAUGAGCCAAAAGACAGAAGAUCUCUCUCCCUGCCUUUCAAGUAAAUUAAUUAAUCUUUUUAAAAAUUUCAUUUUUCCAACACAGUAUCCUGCCUCUCAACUCGAUCUUAUUCCCACACUUUCUUAUCUGAAUUCAUCUUCAUUUAUAUCUUGGUUGUCUUUUGUCUUCAGAGCAAGAGAGGACGUGCAGUUUAGCAAGGGAGGGUUGAGUAAGGAAUACAGUUUUUCUGUUAGACCUAUGGCACAACAUGUCAAGUCACUACAAAAAUAAAAUGGUAAAGUUACUCCAAGUAGGUUUAGUCCAAAAAGCUCAGCAGAACAGUCCAUUAUGCAGUUCUGUCAGCAGUAAGAAAAGACUCCAAUGAGACUAUUAUCAGAUUUGCUAGGCCUCUCUAUUAUACUGUACAGUCCUUUCUGUAGCCUCUUAAGCAUUUUUCACAUUUUAAUAAACAUUUUUGUGUCACUUUCACCACCAUCAAAAAAGAUUACAAUU